CCUACGGGGGGCAGCAGUAGGGAAUAUUGCACAAUGGGGGAAACCCUGAUGCAGCAACGCCGCGUGAGUGAAGAAGGCCCUUGGGUUGUAAAGCUCUUUAGCGAGGGAAGAAGCUCAGCUUACCUAAUACGUAAGUUGGAUGACGGUACCUCGAGAAUAAGCACCGGCUAAUUUCGUGCCAGCAGCCGCGGUAAUACGAAAGGUGCAAGCGUUACUCGGAAUCACUGGGCGUAAAGCGCACGUAGGCGGAUUCGUAUGUCAAUUGUGAAAGCCCUGGGCUCAACCCGGGAAUUGCAGUUGAAACUGCGUUUCUUGAAUACCUGAGAGGGUGGGGGAAUACCUAGUGGAGAAGUGAAAUUCGUAGAGAUUAGGUGGAACACCGGAGGCGAAGGCGCCUGCCUGGCAGUGUAUUGACGCUGAGGUGCGAAAGUGUGGGGAGCAAACAGGAUUAGAUACCCCUGUAGUC
rnacentral:rRNA from 1 species